rnacentral:rRNA from 1 species
CAGUAGCCACGGGAAUACGGAGGGAGCUAGCGUUGUUCGGAAUUACUGGGCGUAAAGCGCGCGUAGGCGGUUACUCAAGUCAGAGGUGAAAGCCCGGGGCUCAACCCCGGAACUGCCUUUGAAACUAGGUGACUAGAAUCUUGGAGAGGUCAGUGGAAUUCCGAGUGUAGAGGUGAAAUUCGUAGAUAUUCGGAAGAACACCAGUGGCGAAGGCGACUGACUGGACAAGUAUUGACGCUGAGGUGCGAAAGCGUGGGGAGCAAACAGGAUUAGAUACCCGUGUAGUCCCUGUCUCUUAUAA